CAGUGGGGAAAGGAAGGAAUUCCUUUAAAAAGCUUUAUCAAGGCUGUCCGCUUUCCUUUAUCACGACACAGCUCUUUCCCACUGGUUUCCCCUGUAAUGGAUUUCUGCCUGUUCUAAGUCACUGUGAUUUAGAACACAGACAGCAAUAUCUGUUCUUUUUAGAACAUGUAGAUGCCUGUGAAGUAAUGGCUGGUCUGAGAAUCAUUGAGGGGACCAAGUAGCAAAGGAUCAAAGUCCGAAUGAAAUAGGACCGCCUUCCUAACUCAAGCCUACUGUGACAUCACCCUGCACUAUUCCAUUUUUCAUUUUCCCACAAGGUAAAGUCCUUGAUUACAUUUGACAAAAAGGCUGUAGAACAAGAAGAGCAGUGAUGUUAGAGCACUUAAAGAAUGGUGUUCCCAGGAAUGAAAGAUUGAUGAAGGCUCUGUUAGAGGGGUGGUGUUCCAGCUGCGCCUUAAAGCAAAGGUCAAGUUUGAAUUGAUAGAGGUGAGAAAGGAAGACAUUCCAGAUGAGAACGGCAUUGUAAGGGAAUUCCUAAGGGUGAAAGGAAGCAAGGUGUGCAUUUUCAUUUUGUUUGUGAAAAUAUAGCACGAGCGUCUUAACCUAAAGAGCUGAGAGGCGGUUUUAGAAAAUGUCUUGAAUUUUCAUCUCCUUUCUGAUUUUGCUGACCUUGUCAUUGUUGACUUGUUAAGAGCAUUAGUGACAGUAAUGAUCAUUAGACAAUAACAGAAAAAAUAAUGAUGAUACCUCAGUAA